rnacentral:misc_RNA from 1 species
GUCAAACCCACUCUAGGUAGAGGCUUGCUUAGUUAGCUCUUUGAUAGGUGUCUGCAAAGGCAUUAUUGUAAGGGCAUGGCAUUUUUAUUGUCCAUGUUUGUUUUAAUUAAAUUAUCAAAGAACCUUGUUGAUCAAUUAUUCUAUCUGCUGGAAUCUUGUUAUAACUUUUUAUUUUUUAGUGUCAAAAGAGAGCUAUGUAAUUCAUGUGCACUCUUAAUUCUCUUUUAG